GCGAGCAUCUGCCAGGAUGUUUUCAUUAAUCAAGAACGAAAGUUAGGGGAUCGAAGACGAUCAGAUACCGUCGUAGUCUUAACCAUAAACGAUGCCGACCAGCGAUUAGGAGACGUUGAAUACAAAACACCACCAUCGGUGCGGUCGUUCUUGGCGUCGGUUUCGGCCGGCGCGGGAGCGGCUUAGCCCGGUGGCACCGGUGAAUGACUCCCCU
rnacentral:rRNA from 1 species